UACGGAGGGUGCAAGCGUUAAUCGGAAUUACUGGGCGUAAAGCGUGCGUAGGUGGUUCGUUAAGUCCGUUGUGAAAGCCCCGAGCUCAACUUGGGAAUUGCAGUGGAUACUGGCGAGCUGGAGUGCGGUAGAGGAAGGUGGAAUUCCCGGUGUAGCGGUGAAAUGCGUAGAGAUCGGGGGGAACACCAGUGGCGAAGGCGGCCUUCUGGACCAGCACUGACACUCAAGCACGAAAGCGUGGGGAGCAAACAGG
rnacentral:rRNA from 1 species